UACAGAGGUGGCAAGCGUUGUUCGGAAUUACUGGGCGUAAAGGGCGCGUAGGCGGUUCGUUAAGUCCUGUGUGAAAUCCCCCGGCUCAACUGGGGAACUGCACAGGAAACUAGCGGGCUUGAGUUCGGGAGAGGGAAGCGGAAUUCCGGGUGUAGCGGUGAAAUGCGUAGAUAUCCGGAGGAACACCGGUGGCGAAGGCGGGCUUCCUGGACCGACACU
rnacentral:rRNA from 1 species